AUUGAACGCUGGCGGAAUGCUUUACACAUGCAAGUCGAACGGUAGAGGGGGGCAACCCCCUUGAGAGUGGCGAACGGGUGAGUAAUAUAUCGGAACGUGCCCGGUCGUGGGGAUAACGUAGCGAAAGCUACGCUAAUACCGCAUACGAUCUACGGAUGAAAGCGGGGGGAUCGCAAGACCUCGCGCGAUUGGAGCGGCCGAUAUCAGAUUAGGUAGUUGGUGAGGUAAAGGCUCACCAAGCCGACGAUCUGUAGCUGGUCUGAGAGGACGACCAGCCACACUGGGACUGAGACACGGCCCAGACUCCUACGGAGGCAGCAGUGGGGAAUUUUGGACAAUGGGCGCAAGCCUGAUCCAGCAAUGCCGCGUGCAGGAUGAAGGCC
rnacentral:rRNA from 1 species